UAGGAAACACCAUUGAUUUCCAAGUUAGCAUGAUCUAAUUCAUAUUUUCAUUCAAGUGAGCGCCUAGCAUAUUUUUUUCGCAGAGGAACCUACUUUCUUCCCUUAUCCUAUCUGCAAACAGAAGUGUCAAAAGGAAGGAAGGAUGUAGAACACUCAACAUUUUGCACCUCCUCAUAAUGUACUGAUACUUUCUCUAUCAAUAGAAAGAAAAAUAAUGCAUUAGUUUUUGCCAUGUACAUAUCAUUGAAGGCUGAUGUGACAAUGUCCAAAUGCAAAUUGAUACACAUGUCAAAUAAACAAAAGGUAAGAUAAGCAAAUAUCACGUAACCUCUAACCUUAACAUCUUCAAGAGCUUCGAUAAGCCUUUUAGGGUUUGAAAAGCCAUUUUGAAAGUUUUCCGCAAUUGCUAUGUUAUGAAGAACCUAAAAUAAAAACAUGAUAACAGGUUAGCAAUAAAAGAAAAAAC
rnacentral:lncRNA from 1 species